GGCCUUUGCUGCGGGUCGCCGCGCAGGCAUUGGAGCACAUAGUAGUUGUUGCAAAGGAUGUGCGCGAUUGGACGCCACAGUCGGCCGCCAUUCAGGCGAGCACCGAAAGCGCAUGUCGGGGGAUGCCGUACCAUGGGCGACGACCUAAAGUGCUGGCCCCGCCUAGCACGUAAGGCGACGGCGACGACAAUAGCGACGGUGGAGGGCGACGUCGCCCAGGGAAGACGACCACCGCCAAAUGGCGUCCGACGCCGUCCAGGGAAGACAACCCGUGGCCGCGCACGCGACCGAGGAGGCGAACCGGCAGCAGAAGCGCAAGAUGCGCGCAAACGGGGUACAAGUCGUGCGGGGGGG
rnacentral:lncRNA from 1 species